GUAAACGGCCCAAUAGGGAACACCUUUUUAGCUAAGUUGUUGCCCUGUAUGUUGUUGAUGAUGGAUGCUGUUGCUGCUUCCCUUUGUCUUCUUUUAUUUUUUCUUUUUAAUUUUUUCACCAAUUCUUUGUUUGGAAACUGCUCUCUCUUUCCCCCCUCGCUUCCCCCUCUCUCUCUCUCUCUCUCUCUCUCAUUUCGUAAAUUAACGAUUACUGUCCUCUUUUAAUCUCUCUUUUUCUCUCCUCUUCUACAUUGUAUUCCUCAUCUCAUAUCCUUCCCCUUCAAGGCCUCGUUCUCUCGUUCUCUCUCUCCCUCUCUCUCCUCUUCUUUGCAUUCUUCUCCUACUAGGGUUUUCGUUUCUUUUCAUGCUCCUCUUUUUUCUCUUUCUUUUCUCAAGAAGGAGAUUGUUAGAUCGAUCAGGCUUUUCUGCUCUUAUUUCUUAGAUUUGGUGUAAGUGAGUAUUGCUGCUUGCAUUGGAAUUUCUACGGUGCCUGUGUAUAAUUCAUAAGGUACAUUAUUAGCAGCAGUAAUGCAAGGGCAGAGGAGUAUUAUUGGCUCAUUGCCAGAAAUACUGGACUUUGACCAUGG
rnacentral:misc_RNA from 1 species